GAUGAACGCUGGCGGCGUGCCUAAUACAUGCAAGUCGAGCGAACAGACGAGGAGCUUGCUCCUCUGACGUUAGCUGCGGACGGGUGAGUAACACGUGGAUAACCUACCUAUAAGACUGGGAUAACUUCGGGAAACCGGAGCUAAUACCGGAUAAUAUAUUGAACCGCAUGGUUCAAUAGUGAAAGACGGUUUUGCUGUCACUUAUAGAUGGAUCCGCGCCGCAUUAGCUAGUUGGUAAGGUAACGGCUUACCAAGGCGACGAUGCGUAGCCGACCUGAGAGGGUGAUCGGCCACACUGGAACUGAGACACGGCCCAGACUCCUACGGGAGGCAGCAGUAGGGAAUCUUCGGCAAUGGACGGAAGUCUGACCGAGCAACGCCGCGUGAGUGAAGAAGGUUUUCGGAUCGUAAAGCUCUGCUGUAAGAGAAGAACGAGUGUGAGAGUGGAAAGUUCACACUGUGACGGUAUCUUACCAGAAAGGGACGGCUAACUACGUGCCAGCAGCCGCGGUAAUACGUAGGUCCCGAGCGUUGUCCGGAUUUAUUGGGCGUAAAGCGAGCGCAGGCGGUUAGAUAAGUCUGAAGUUAAAGGCUGUGGCUUAACCAUAGUACGCUUUGGAAACUGUUUAACUUGAGUGCAAGAGGGGAGAGUGGAAUUCCAUGUGUAGCGGUGAAAUGCGUAGAUAUAUGGAGGAACACCGGUGGCGAAAGCGGCUCUCUGGCUUGUAACUGACGCUGAGGCUCGAAAGCGUGGGGAGCAAACAGGAUUAGAUACCCUGGUAGUCCACGCCGUAAACGAUGAGUGCUAGGUGUUAGACCCUUUCCGGGGUUUAGUGCCGUAGCUAACGCAUUAAGCACUCCGCCUGGGGAGUACGACCGCAAGGUUGAAACUCAAAGGAAUUGACGGGGGCCCGCACAAGCGGUGGAGCAUGUGGUUUAAUUCGAAGCAACGCGAAGAACCUUACCAGGUCUUGACAUCCUUCUGACCACUCUAGAGAUAGAGCUUUCCUUCGGGACAGAGGUGACAGGUGGUGCAUGGUUGUCGUCAGCUCGUGUCGUGAGAUGUUGGGUUAAGUCCCGCAACGAGCGCAACCCUUAUUGUUAGUUGCCAUCAUUAAGUUGGGCACUCUAACGAGACUGCCGGUAAUAAACCGGAGGAAGGUGGGGAUGACGUCAAAUCAGCGUGCCCCUUAUGACCUGGGCUACACACGUGCUACAAUGGCUGGUACAACGAGUCGCAAGCCGGUGACGGCAAGCUAAUCUCUUAAAGCCAGUCUCAGUUCGGAUUGUAGGCUGCAACUCGCCUACAUGAAGUCGGAAUCGCUAGUAAUCGCGGAUCAGCACGCCGCGGUGAAUACGUUCCCGGGCCU
rnacentral:rRNA from 1 species